GGUAGUGUAGUUAACACCUGCAUUAUUUGACGUUACCUACAGAAGAAGCACCGGCUAACUCCGUGCCAGCAGCCGCGGUAAUACGGAGGGUGCGAGCGUUAAUCGGAAUUACUGGGCGUAAAGCGCAUGCAGGCGGCCUGUUAAGUCAGAUGUGAAAGCCCCGGGGCUUAACCUCGGAAUUGCAUUUGAAACUGGCAGGCUAGAGUCUUGUAGAGGGGGUAGAAUUUCAGGUGUAGCGGUGAAAUGCGUAGAGAUCUGAAGGAAUACCAGUGGCGAAGGCGGCCCCCUGGACAAAGACUGACGCUCAGAUGCGAAAGCGUGGGGAGCAAACAGGAUUAGAUACCCUGGUAG
rnacentral:rRNA from 1 species